AUUCCUCCGCUAGCUAAGUGGUGAUGAUUCUGUUUUCAGCUUGUUUAGUAGUGCAUGCUCAACAAUGACGAGUAGUCGUUUGCUACCUGCCACGACGAGCUCAGGGGCCGCCGUGUAAAACAGAAUGUCAAGUCAACGUGUCAGUGAGUGGUCUCGCUUUCCAUGCUCUGUCCAUCUGUUCAUUCCGGCUCCUAGUUGGACCCAGCAUAUCAAGAGUACAAGUACAAAUUUACUCGAGACAAAUUCGUAAAUAUUUACUCCAACAAAAUGGCCAGGUGAACUAAAACAUGUCUGGUUGGUUUGCUCAUCAUGUGGAUGCAUGCCCAACACUCUUAUCUUGAUCUCAAUGCCAGCAGACUGUAAUUAAAAUUGCUACCAAAUGAUUGUAUUAAUUGAAAAUGAUCACUUACUCUGUAUCAGCCUGAUCUGAUGACUUUUCUUAAAAUGCUAAAAUGCAACCGGUUGAGGUCUUCUUUGAAUAGCAUCUGUGGAUUCUGCGGAUUGCUUGUGCUUCAUCUUUUGUGUUUCUAAUUUGACGAUGUCCAAAUUGAAGAAAAUACUUGAGACAGAAGUGAGAAAUAUCAUGAACACAUAUUUGAGACUUAUACACACACACACACACACACACUACUGUAUAGUCUAUGGAGAAUAGAGCCAACGCAGGAAUGUGCCAUACUGGAUGGUUGUCCUCACCAGAAACUGACUACAAACAUGCUGCCCCAAGCUUGGAGUUUUCAUUGUCACAUUGAAUUUCUAUCUGAUGUCAGCCGUGAAACUAUGUGAUUGACCUAUAAUAUGUAGUUAGUGAAGAAGGGGGAUUUGUUUUGGGAGCAUGCUAAAGAUUAGUUCCACGUUCUUGUCACACAGAAUAGAGAACUUUUUGUAUUCUCACUAAUGACCAACAUUAAUGAAAUGCCAACUCUGGUUACUUUAGAGUUUAAAAAAAUUAAAAAAUAAUUAAAACUAUAGAAUUUGUGCUCACUUUGCACGACACGGUACGGGUUUGUAAUUCAUUUAUGAUUCACUGUUAUGAUCUGGCUUUUCCUUAUAAAGUUAUUUGAAUGUCAGCAUUUGCAAUGUCCAUCAAAGACUCUUUUAAGGGGUUAUAGUGCAUUUUGUUGCGCCUCAAAGCAAAUGAACUCAAUUUAUGACCAUGUCAGUUGGUAGAAACAAACAGUGUUGUGAACAGCAUGAUUCCGAAUGAAACAAUGGAGCCUUUGAAACUGAACAAAUGUGGAUUACACUCUUGUAAUUAUUUUUCAUUCGUGCUGCUCUAUGCUUUCUUUGGCAAGCGCUUGUGUGUGUGUGGCCCCGCAUCAUCCAGCUUGAUUCAGACAUACACACACACACAAGACAUACACACGCUCUUUGGUGUAGAGGUAUACACAUUUCCUAUCAAAUAAUUAUCUGGAUCAUGCAAUGUCAUCAAAGCGUUUCAUUUGUUUAAAAACAGAAUAUCGGCAAUGCAUUAACACCACGCUGUAAAAAAAUAGCUUGUGUAGUUUUGAUAGAUAAACAAUAGAAAAUCUUAAUGAUAAAAAAAAAAAACAAUGGCAAGAUAAACUUUCCUAUGUGUGUAAAUUUUAAUAUGAUGCUAAUUUUAUUCAUGGUGUACGCUGUCUCAAUUUCCUCACUCAUUUAUUUCAUCAGUUUGAAAUCUGGGCCAGUUCACUUGAACACAAAGCUGUUAUUCUCGUGUAUGAAUGGCGACAGGUGGAUGAUGUCUAUAUAUGUCGCUGGCAUAGAAAGAUGAUGCAUAAUUUGAAGUCAAUCCAUCAUUUUCAUGACACAGUGGGUUUGGAAUCGCCGGUAUAGAUGAUGAGCGCUUCUCCUGAUUAAAGCGCUGUACAAUUGAAGUAUUGCUAAUUUGCUGAAGAGACAACACCCAGAGGUCACCAAUGAGAAGGUGGGUCACCUUUGUUUGAUCCCCGGCUCCGGUAUCAACUUCACCCAUCGUCCGUCUCCGUUCGUCACGUUCUCCUUCCGUAGCACUGCGUCCUCGAUCCUUUUUCUCAAUGUACAUGACUCCUCACGCAAUUAUCUGCCUCUCAUGAAGUGCUAAUCUUUAUGGUUAUCCUGACAUGGACCAUCCAAUCACAGACAGGUGGCCAUUGAUUAAUCCACCAAUACUAGUGCCCCCUUGAGAAAUUAGCUCAAGCACUGCCGCGCAUCACAGAAAAAGCACACACUCAAUAUACAGAGACGAGCGGAAGGACAGGCUGGCUGCAGCCAUGUCGAAGCAUUAGAUCUUAAUAAUAAAGGAGACAAACACAUCGAAAAGAGAAAUGCCCUGUCAUAUAACAUGCAGAAUUGCUUAUUACUAUGCUGACAUAAUCACAUUUCCGGUUGCGAUCAAAGGCUUUUAAACUUGUCAGCCUCUGGAAUUAGCAUUGUGAGCAGGUAUACGCAAGCUCACACGCGCACACACACACUUAAAUACAAUCUACGCUGGCACAGACAAAGACAGAAGGCUGCAUGCUAAACAACAUGCCUUUUCUAUUAAAUCAGGCAGCAAUGAGAUGACAUGUUAUCCAUUCCAAACACAAUCUGGGGCUCAGCUUCAAUCUUUUCUCAAGCCAGGACAUUUUAUAACGUACCCACUACCAACCUGGAUGAACAAGUGUGUGAGACGGUUCUAAAAUGAGAACCCUCUUGUCCUGCUCCUCAGGAAAUGAAACUGACAUUACUCAUCUAUCAAGACCACUAUCCCUCCUCUCAUCUCUCUCCUCUUUUCUUUGGCUUUACUUAUUGUCCCAUCAUGUAGCCAUCCCUUUUACUUGUCCCUACUCGCUCGUUCCCUUUUCCAUUGAAUUAGAAGAUUAUCUUUGCAUAUUCACGGUGUUCCACUGGUUACCGCAGCAUCCUCAUAGUGCAGAGGCCAAAAGUUUGCAUGUUCUUCCCGUGCCUGCGUGGGUUUUCUUUGGGUACUCCGGUUUCCUUACAUAUUCCAAUAGCAUGAAUGGUUGAUUGAUUAGACACUCUAAAAGGUCCCUCGAUGUGACUGUGAGUACGAAUGGUUGUUUGAUUAUGUUUGUCGUGCGAUUGGCUAACC